rnacentral:ncRNA from 1 species
UUAACAUUAGAUUUUUGUGUUUAAAUCUAAUUAUAUCAAGGAUAUAUAUAUAUGUUUUGUCGGGUUAAUUUAUUCUAAAAGAAUACAUGUUUACUCUUAGCUUUUAAUAUUAAAAAGUUUAUUAAUAUAUUAAUUAAUUAUGAUAUUUUCUUAUAGCAAAAAUUGUGCCAGCAGCUGCGGUUACACAAUUAUGGGGAUUAGAUUUGGUUGGUUUAUAUUAAAUUAUAUUUUUAUAACUAAAUUCAUUUUUUUUAGUGGAAUAUUAAUUUUGACUAGGUUUUAUUAUAUUAUAUAUAUGAAAGUUUUUUUUAGACUAGGAUUAGAUACCCUAUUAUUUUGACUGUAAAAAUGAAACCAAACUAUUAAUAGUUAUGGGCUUUAAAUUUAAAAAAUUUGGCGGUAAUUUAGCUUUUCAGAGGAACCUGUCCUUUAAUUGAUAAACCACAAUAAAUUUUACUCUUAUUAUUAUGCUUAUAUACCUCUAUCAUCGAGUGUCUUAUGAAGGUUAGAUUUUCAACUAAGUUUAUUAAUUGAAAUGUUAGGUCAAGGUUUAGCAAUAUAAGAGUAGAGAUGGGUUACAUUAAUAUUAUAUAAGGAAUAAUAUAUGGAAAUAUAUUUUAAUGCGGAUUUGAUAGUAAAUUUUUUUAGAAAAAAAAAUUGAUUUAUGCUCUAAAUUAUGCACAUAUCGCCCGUCGCUCCUGAUUAAUUAGGAUAAGUCGUAACAAAGUAGAUUUACUGGAAAGUGAAUCUAGAUUG